CUUCCGUAGGGGAACCUGCGGAAGGAUCAUUACCGAGUGAGGGCCCUCUGGGUCCAACCUCCCACCCGUGUUUAUUUUACCUUGUUGCUUCGGCGGGCCCGCCUUAACUGGCCGCCGGGGGGCUUACGCCCCCGGGCCCGCGCCCGCCGAAGACACCCUCGAACUCUGUCUGAAGAUUGAAGUCUGAGUGAAAAUAUAAAUUAUUUAAAACUUUCAACAACGGAUCUCUUGGUUCCGGCAUCGAUGAAGAACGCAGCGAAAUGCGAUACGUAAUGUGAAUUGCAAAUUCAGUGAAUCAUCGAGUCUUUGAACGCACAUUGCGCCCCCUGGUAUUCCGGGGGGCAUGCCUGUCCGAGCGUCAUUGCUGCCCUCAAGCCCGGCUUGUGUGUUGGGCCCCGUCCCCCGAUCUCCGGGGGACGGGCCCGAAAGGCAGCGGCGGCACCGCGUCCGGUCCUCGAGCGUAUGGGGCUUUGUCACCCGCUCUGUAGGCCCGGCCGGCGCUUGCCGAUCAACCCAAAUUUUUAUCCAGGUUGACCUCGGAUCAGGUAGGGAUACCCGCUGAACUUAAGCAUAUCAAUAAGCGGAGGAA
rnacentral:rRNA from 1 species